rnacentral:rRNA from 1 species
UGAGGAAUAUUGGUCAAUGGACGGAAGUCUGAACCAGCCAUGCCGCGUGCAGGAUGAAUGCUCUAUGAGUUGUAAACUGCUUUUAUACGAGGGUAACUUUAGGCACGUGUGCUUAAUUGAAAGUAUCGUAUGAAUAAGGGUCGGCUAACUCCGUGCCAGCAGCCGCGGUAAUACGGAGGACCCGAGCGUUAUCCGGAUUUAUUGGGUUUAAAGGGUGCGUAGGCUGUUCGGUAAGUUAGAGGUGAAAUCUCGGCGCUCAACGUCGAAACUGCCUCUGAUACUGCUGGACUAGAGUGUAGUUGCGGAAGGCGGAAUGUGUAGUGUAGCGGUGAAAUGCUUAGAUAUUACACAGAACACCGAUUGCGAAGGCAGCUUUCCAAGCUAUUACUGACGCUGAGGCACGAAAGCGUGGGGAUCAAACA